rnacentral:piRNA from 1 species
UGAGAAUCGUGAAGGGACCAGGUGUCAG